AACGAACGCUGGCGGCAUGCCUAACACAUGCAAGUCGAACGAGACCUUCGGGUUUAGUGGCGCACGGGUGCGUAACGCGUGGGAACCUGCCCUUAGGUUCGGAAUAACUCCCCGAAAGGGGUGCUAAUACCGGAUAAUGUCUUCGGACCAAAGAUUUAUCGCCUUUGGAUGGGCCCGCGUUGGAUUAGCUAGUUGGUAGGGUAAAAGCCUACCAAGGCGACGAUCCAUAGCUGGUCUGAGAGGAUGAUCAGCCACACUGGGACUGAGACACGGCCCAGACUCCUACGGGAGGCAGCAGUGGGGAAUAUUGGACAAUGGGCGGAAGCCUGAUCCAGCAAUGCCGCGUGAGUGAUGAAGGCCUUAGGGUUGUAAAGCUCUUUUAGCCGGGAAGAUAAUGACAGUACCGGGAGAAUAAGCUCCGGCUAACUCCGUG
rnacentral:rRNA from 1 species